AGGUUGAUGAUGACUUACAUAUAUACGUUUUUUUUUUUUUUGGAAAGGUGAACAAAAUGAGUGAAAACUCAGUACCAUCAUCCUCAUCUAACUGAGGUCC
ensembl:snoRNA SNORD116 Small nucleolar RNA SNORD116